rnacentral:rRNA from 1 species
GACGAACGCUGGCGGCGCGCCUAACACAUGCAAGUCGAACGAGCGAGAGAGAGCUUGCUUUCUUGAGCGAGUGGCGAACGGGUGAGUAACGCGUGAGGAACCUGCCUCGAAGAGGGGGACAACAGUUGGAAACGACUGCUAAUACCGCAUAAGCCCACGACCCGGCAUCGGGUUGAGGGAAAAGGAGCAAUCCGCUUUGAGAUGGCCUCGCGUCCGAUUGGCUAGUUGGUGAGGUAACGGCCCACCAAGGCGACGAUCGGUAGCCGGACUGAGAGGUUGAACGGCCACAUUGGGACUGAGACACGGCCCAGACUCCUACGGGAGGCAGCAGUGGGGAAUAUUGCACAAUGGGGGAAACCCUGAUGCAGCGACGCCGCGUGGAGGAAGAAGGUCUUCGGAUUGUAAACUCCUGUUGUUGAGGAAGAUAAUGACGGUACUCAACAAGGAAGUGACGGCUAACUACGUG